GAUGAACGCUGGCGGCGUGCUUAACACAUGCAAGUCGGACGGACACAUCUUUCGGGGUGUGUUAGUGGCAGACGGGUGCGUAACGCGUAUGCAACCUGCCCCGCACCGGGGGAUAGCCCGCCGAAAGGCGGAUUAAUACCCCAUGGUCCCGGGGGCCCGCAUGGGCAUCCGGGUAAAGCCUUGGCGGUGCGGGAUGGGCAUGCGUGCCAUUAGCUGGCUGGUGGGGUAACGGCCCACCAGGGCAACGAUGGCUAGGGGGUCUGAGAGGAUGGUCCCCCACACUGGUACUGAGACACGGACCAGACUCCUACGGGAGGCAGCAGUGAGGAAUAUUGGUCAAUGGGCGGAAGCCUGAACCAGCCAUGCCGCGUGCGGGAUGAAGGCCCUACGGGUUGUAAACCGCUUUUCCCCGGGAAGAAUAACCCCGAUGAGUCGGGGGAGUGCCGGUACCGGGGGAAUAAGGAUCGGCUAACUCCGUG
rnacentral:rRNA from 1 species